rnacentral:rRNA from 1 species
AUGGCGCUGUCCGACGAGUCCGAGCUGCUUCGCUCCCCGGUCAGCGCCUUGCUCGACAGCAUCUUCCCCAGCACCUUCUUCGGCGUCGCGCCGCCCUUGGCCUUGCCGUUGGUGGUGCUCUUGCUGCUGCCGUGGCUCUUCUCGGCGCUGUGGCAUUUCUCCAGCUUCGUGGUCUUUGAUGAAAGGCUGAGGUCCUCCACCGCUAUGACUCCAUCCCACUCGUCUUCAGUGUUGGUUGUGGCGCCUGACCUUGAGCUCUCGUAG